rnacentral:lncRNA from 1 species
GCUUGCCAAACCAACAACACAUUUACGGCUUGUCAAACCAACAAUACAUUUAUAGCUUGCCAAACCAUGACACGAUCGUGCCAACCACAGUAAUCCUACAUGUUAACUAUGGCAACGGCUGUACUUCACCAAAGGUGACCCCUAUAAUCAUAUCGUGUCACCACUUUCGUUAGAUGCUAUGUUGUCAUCCAUAGAGAACGGUCCUCUCACGUCUUUUCAGACUGGAUGGUAGAGAAACAGAAACACCUUAGAGAUAAAAAGUCUAACGAAAUACUUUAUG